rnacentral:rRNA from 1 species
AACGAACGCUGGCGGCAGGCUUAACACAUGCAAGUCGAGCGCCCCGCAAGGGGAGCGGCAGACGGGUGAGUAACGCGUGGGAAUCUACCCAUCUCUACGGAAUAACUCAGGGAAACUUGUGCUAAUACCGUAUACGCCCUUCGGGGGAAAGAUUUAUCGGAGAUGGAUGAGCCCGCGUUGGAUUAGCUAGUUGGUGGGGUAAUGGCCUACCAAGGCGACGAUCCAUAGCUGGUCUGAGAGGAUGAUCAGCCACAUUGGGACUGAGACACGGCCCAAACUCCUACGGGAGGCAGCAGUGGGGAAUAUUGGACAAUGGGCGAAAGCCUGAUCCAGCCAUGCCGCGUGAGUGGUGAAGGCCCUAGGGUUGUAAAGCUCUUUCACCGGUGAAGAUAAUGACGGUAACCGGAGAAGAAGCCCCGGCUAACUUCGUGCCAGCCGCCGCUGUAAAAC